AUAUAACCCAUCACUUCAACUGGAAAGCAAAUGUAUCCUACUAUUAGAGUUUAUCUCGAAAUGCUUUGGGAAAUCUCAGGGGGCUGGAGGAACCCUCAGCUCAAGCCAUUUGUGGGAUGUGUUGGUCCGGCAUAGACUCCAGCCAAAAGACCAAAUAUUGCCUUUUGUUGUUUCCUGGAGGGAAGGAUAUGGACAACAAUGAUCUGGCCGUGGGGAAGAUUCAAGGGAAUAAAAAUGAAUCAUCACCAGCCACCAGGAAGCACCAGGAGCUCUCUAAAUGGAAUGGAGGCCUCCCAUACCUUGGGCAUUGAUAAACCUUGGCUGUUGCUUCAAAUAUAAAUGAUUCUAGAACAUCAGAAUAACUAGUAACAGUAAGAUUACUCAAAUAAGCAAAUAAAAUCAAAGAAGCUCCUGGUUCCUGGCACACAGCUCCUAACACCAUUGGAAUCUCUGGAGUGAAAAGAGUGUCUUUUGUAAGUGAAUGAGAUGACUGAAGGUCGGGGGCCUGUAGAUAGCCCCUUCUCCUAUACCUCGACCUAUACAUCUCUUCCAUGUUUCUUUCAUCUGUAUGCUUUGUAACAUUCUUUAUAAUAAACAAGUAAGUGUAAGUGCUUCCUGAGUUCUGUGAGCUGCUCUAGCAAAUCAGUUGAACCUGAAGAAGGGGUCUUGGGAACCCCUGAUUUACGGCUGGUCGGUCAGAAGCACAGGUAAAACAACUGGGGGCUUGCAGCUGGCAUCUGAGGUGAGGGGAAGCCUUGUGGAACUUAGCGCUUGGCAUGUGGGAUCUGAUACUCUCUCUAGGUAGAUAGCAUCAGAGUGGAACUGAGAGAGGACACCCCGCUGCUGUCUGCUGGAGAACUGAUUGGUGUGUGGAAUCUGGUUUUAGAAGUAUUAUAUUGAGUGGUAUGUGAAAGUAGGAAACACACUUCAUUUUUUUUCCAUCUUUAUAAUAUUUACAUAGUUUUCCGGCACUUCUGGGUAUAGCUAUUUCUAGCUAUUUGAAUGUAGGAAAUGCUUCCAAGAAUGCCUCUCACUUUUUAAAAAAAUUGAGAGAUAACUCACAUACCAUAAAAUUGACCUUUAAAGUAUACAGUCCAGUGGUUUUAGUAUAUUCACAAGAUUGUGCAACUAUCACAACUAAUUCUAGAACAUUGUCAUUACCCCCUACAAAGAAUUCCAUUAGUAGUCACUGCCCAUU
rnacentral:lncRNA from 1 species